rnacentral:lncRNA from 1 species
NNNNNNNNNNNNNNNNNNNNNNNNNNNGCUUUUGCAUCCUGUAGCUCCAACUCCAAAAAGUUCUGGGACACUGUGAAGUCCAUGGAGAACAAGAGCACCUCCUCCCAGCUGCCCACUGCACUGAGGCUAGGUAACACGGUCACCACUGAUAAAUCCAUGAUUAUCGAAACUUCAAUAAGCAUUUCUCAACGGCUGGCCAUGCCUUCCGCCUGGCUACUUCAACCUCGGCCAACAGCUCCGCCCCCCCCGCAGCUCCUCGCCCAAGCCUCUCCAGGUUCUCCUUUACCCAAAUCCAGAUAGCAGAUGUUCUGAAAGAGCUGCAAAACCUGGACCCGUACAAAUCAGCUGGGCUUGACAAUCUGGACCCUCUAUUUCUGAAACUAUCUGCCACCAUUGUCGCAACCCCUAUUACCAGCCUGUUCAACCUCUCUUUCAUCUCGUCUGAGAUCCCCAAGGAUUGGAAAGCUGCCGCAGUCAUCCCCCUCUUCAAAGGGGGAGACACCCUGGACCCAAACUGUUACAGACCUAUAUCCAUCCUGCCCUGCCUAUCUAAGGUCUUCGAAAGCCAAGUCAACAAACAGGUCACUGACCAUCUCGAAUCCCACCGUACCUUCUCCGCUGUGCAAUCUGGUUUCCGAGCCGGUCAUGGGUGCACCUCAGCCACACUCAAGGUACUAAACGACAUCAUAACCGCCAUCGAUAAAAGACAGUACUGUGCAGCCGUCUUCAUCGACCUUGCCAAGGCUUUCGACUCUGUCAAUCACCAUAUUCUUAUCGGCAGACUCAGUAGCCUCGGUUUUUCGGAUGACUGCCUUGCCUGGUUCACCAAUUACUUUGCAGACAGAGUUCAGUGUGUCAAAUCGGAGGGCAUGCUGUCCGGUCCUCUGGCAGUCUCUAUGGGGGUGCCAGGGUUCAAUUCUCGGGCCGACUCUUUUCUCUUUCUCUGUGUAUAUCAAUGAUGUUGCUCUUGCUGCGGGCGAUUCCCUGAUCCACCUCUACGCAGACGACACCAUUCUAUAUACUUUCGGCCCGUCUUUGGACACUGUGCUAUCUAACCUCCAAACAAGCUUCAAUGCCAUACAACACUCCUUCCGUGGCCUCCAACUGCUCUUAAACGCUAGUAAACCAAAUGCAUGCUUUUCAACCGGUCGCUGCCUG